UUUUGUGUGUGUUUUCUUGUUAACCCUCUUGUGUGUCAGGAUAUGGAUGUAAGCCCAGCGAUUGGCUGUCCGUAUCCUGAGUGUGUUUGUUUGGUUCGGAAGCCGAUGUAAGUCCAGCGAUUGGCGUUCGGGUUCCAGGUUUGCCUGUGUUUGUGUGUAUCUUGUUUGGCGUGCGUGAGCCGAACUACGGCAGCUCUGAUUCUC
rnacentral:lncRNA from 1 species